rnacentral:rRNA from 1 species
UCUUGCUAAGGCCGAUGGCGACCGGCGCACGGGUGAGUAACACGUAUCCAACCUGCCGAUAACUCGGGGAUAGCCUUUCGAAAGAAAGAUUAAUACCCGAUGGCAUAAUAGAACCGUAUGGUUUGAUUAUUAAAGAAUUUCGGUUAUCGAUGGGGAUGCGUUCCAUUAGGCAGUUGGUGGGGUAAUGGCCCACCAAACCUUCGAUGGAUAGGGGUUCUGAGAGGAAGGUCCCCCACAUUGGAACUGAGACACGGUCCAAACUCCUACGGGAGGCAGCAUG